GCAUUCUCAAGGCGGACUUCAGGGUUCUGGAAUUUUGCCUGCGGAGUUCCUGCUCUCAGACCAAAUAUUACCAUUUCCUCACCUGUCUCAAAGUUCACGCAUCAGAGUGAGUCCCUCUUCUGCCACCAUGUUUGGAUCACCGCCGAAGUAAGUUAUGAUGUCUGGAGCUGUGGUAGCUAUCUUGGAACCAUGAAGUAAUAAGAUAGAACAGAAAGAAAGAACCGCCCCACCACAAAAAAAAAAAAAAAAAAAAAAAGAAUCCUGGAUUCUUGGGGGAAAUAGCUAACUGCUGACCUCUAAAUUUCUUGUGAGAAGAGGAAACCCCUCCUUUGGGAAAUUACUGAGGAGAAGUGACAACAGAGUGCAAUGUGGCAUCCUGGAUCGGAUUCUGGACCAGAAAAAGGACAAGCUUGGGAAAACUGGCAAUACUUUAAUGAGGUCUGUAGUUUUGUUAAUAAUAUUAUAUCAGGGUUGAUUUCCUGGUUUUGAUAACUCUAUAUGAAUGAUCAUAUAAAAUGUUAACAUUAGGAGAAACCUGUGAAGGACACACAUAAUCUUCUGUGUUAUUUUUUCAGCUUCUCCCUAAUUCUAGAAUUACUUCAAAAUUUAAUGUUUUUCAAAAAUCACUUUCGGUUUAAGAAAAAAAAUUAUAAAAACACAAAUGAUUAGGGUAGGUUUUUUUAUUGAAUUACAACUGACAUACAAGAUUAGAGUGGUUUCUAAUUAUGUUUUUAUUCAAGAGGGUAUGAAGCACUCCCUGUUGAGAAAUAUGAUGGCAUUAGCCCCUCCCUAAAAAUCCUUUCAUUUUCUCCUGGUAAACUUGCAAAUUUUUGUUAAUUAUUUUUCUGUUGUCAAGAUUUUAGAACAUUGACUUCCUCAUUACUGGAGCUGUUUCAUCUUGAUUAUGUAUUUAAAUAAUUCUGUGCUCACCACUGUCUGUUUCCUGAAUUCUUUACUUUGGUUUAUCUCUUUAUUGUCU